UACGUAGGGUGCAAGCGUUAGGCGGAAUCACUGGGCUUAAAGCGUGUGUAGGCGGACGCCUAAGUACCUUGUGAAAUCCCACGGCUCAACCGUGGAACUGCUUGGUAUACUGCGGGUCUUGAGCCACCUAGGGGCGAGCGGAACAAGUGGUGGAGCGGUGAAAUGCGUAGAUAUCACUUGGAACGCCAAUUGCGAAGGCAGCUUACUACACAGUCAUUGACGCUGAGGCACGAAAGCGUGGGGAUCAAACAGG
rnacentral:rRNA from 1 species